AGAGUUUGAUCCUGGCUCAGAUUGAACGCUGGCGGCAGGCCUAACACAUGCAAGUCGAACGGUAACAGGAAGUGCUUGCACUUCGCUGACGAGUGGCGGACGGGUGAGUAAUGCUUGGGAACUUGCCUUUGCGAGGGGGAUAACAGUUGGAAACGACUGCUAAUACCGCAUAAUGCCUACGGACCAAACGGGGCUUUUAGCUCCGGCGCAAAGAGAGGCCCAAGUGAGAUUAGCUAGUUGGUAAGGUAACGGCUUACCAAGGCGACGAUCUCUAGCUGUUCUGAGAGGAAGAUCAGCCACACUGGGACUGAGACACGGCCCAGACUCCUACGGGAGGCAGCAGUGGGGAAUAUUGCACAAUGGGGGAAACCCUGAUGCAGCCAUGCCGCGUGUGUGAAGAAGGCCUUCGGGUUGUAAAGCACUUUCAGUUGUGAGGAAAAGUUAGUAGUUAAUACCUGCUAGCCGUGACGUUAACAACAGAAGAAGCACCGGCUAACUCCGUGCCAGCAGCCGCGGUAAUACGGAGGGUGCGAGCGUUAAUCGGAAUUACUGGGCGUAAAGCGCACGCAGGCGGUUUGUUAAGCUAGAUGUGAAAGCCCCGGGCUCAACCUGGGAUGGUCAUUUAGAACUGGCAGACUAGAGUCUUGGAGAGAGGAGUGGAAUUCCAGGUGUAGCGGUGAAAUGCGUAGAUAUCUGGAGGAACAUCAGUGGCGAA
rnacentral:rRNA from 1 species